GACGAACGCUGGCGGCGUGCUUAACACAUGCAAGUCCAACGGAAAGGCCCUGCUUUUGUGGGGUGCUCGAGUGGCGAACGGGUGAGUAACACGUGAGUAACCUGCCCUUGACUUUGGGAUAACUUCAGGAAACUGGGGCUAAUACCGGAUAGGAGCUCCUGCUGCAUGGUGGGGGUUGGAAAGUUUCGGCGGUUGGGGAUGGACUCGCGGCUUAUCAGCUUGUUGGUGGGGUAGUGGCUUACCAAGGCUUUGACGGGUAGCCGGCCUGAGAGGGUGACCGGCCACAUUGGGACUGAGAUACGGCCCAGACUCCUACGGGAGGCAGCAGUGGGGAAUAUUGCACAAUGGGCGGAAGCCUGAUGCAGCAGCGCCGCGUGCGGGAUGACGGCCUUCGGGUUGUAAACCGCUUUCGCCUGUGACGAAGCGUGAGUGACGGUAAUGGGUAAAGAAGCACCGGCUAACUACGUG
rnacentral:rRNA from 1 species